rnacentral:rRNA from 1 species
UACGGAGGGUGCAAGCGUUAUCCGGAUUCACUGGGUUUAAAGGGUGCGUAGGUGGGCAGGUAAGUCAGUGGUGAAAUCUUUGGGCUUAACCCGAAAACUGCCAUUGAUACUAUUUGUCUUGAAUAUUGUGGAGGUCAGCGGAAUAUGUCAUGUAGCGGUGAAAUGCUUAGAUAUGACAUAGAACACCAAUUGCGAAGGCAGCUCACUAAGCAAAUAUUGACGCUGAGGCACGAAAGCGUGGGGAUCAAACAGG